UACGGGGGGAGCAAGCGUUGUUCGGAUUUACUGGGCGUAAAGGGCGCGUAGGCGGUCAGCACAAGUCAGUUGUGAAAUCUCCGGGCUUAACUCGGAAAGGUCAACUGAUACUGUGCGGCUAGAGUGCAGAAGGGGCAACUGGAAUUCUUGGUGUAGCGGUGAAAUGCGUAGAUAUCAAGAGGAACACCUGCGGCGAAGGCGGGUUGCUGGGCUGACACUGACGCUGAAGCGCGAAAGCCAGGGGAGCGAACGGG
rnacentral:rRNA from 1 species